rnacentral:rRNA from 1 species
AAAUUGAAGAGUUUGAUCAUGGCUCAGAUUGAACGCUGGCGGCAGGCCUAACACAUGCAAGUCGAACGGUAACAGGAAGCAGCUUGCUGCUUUGCUGACGAGUGGCGGACGGGUGAGUAAUGUCUGGGAAACUGCCUGGUGGAGGGGGAUAACUACUGGAAACGGUAGCUAAUACCGCAUAACGUCGCAAGACCAAAGAGGGGGACCUUCGGGCCUCUUGCCAUCGGAUGUGCCCAGAUGGGAUUAGCUA